AAACGGACGCCGGGCCCGGACCACGCACACAGAAGGAGCGGCCACCGUGGGAGCCGAGCGCCUCUCUAACCGCUUCCUCCCAUUGGAGGAUCUGCCAACCAUCGUCGCGUUGGCCGAUGUCGCACAGUGUUCUUUAAACCGGUUGAAACGUCUUCGUCGAUCUGGAGUUCUUCAUCACUGUUUCGGCGUGAGUGGUCGAAGACUUUGUGAAGUGCAUCGCGCUGUUUCGUGGUUGAACGGGCGGUGAUUACAAGCCGAAGGCAUAGUUAAACAUUCCAGUCAAGGAUCUAUUUGUGCGGACAGCCGGAACUUUCUUCUUCUUCGAGUGCUCAGGAACAAACUUGUGCGCUGUGGACUCCAGGAAAACGUGCACGCAUAGAAUUUUCUUGUGUGACGUAUAUCUUGCGAAGAAACUGUCAUUCCCUGUAAAAGGAAAGCGAAGAGAAGGCACUUCCUUUCAAAGUGAAGGCUGCGGACCUUGCGGAAGUGACUGGAGCUCCUAAGCUUCCGUCUGGUGUUCAUUUAGUGCUUUGUGCCGCCGAUUACUCUGGACUAGGAGCCCGGUAGAGGAGACAUACUCAGAAAGAAAAAAAAAGAGUGAGGGAGGCGAACUAUAGACGUUGACCGCCGGUACGACACGACGUCGAGAAGCCGGCGCAGCGCACUCCGUUGGAGACAAGGGCAGGCAAGCGCGUCGGAUUGACGAAAGCGCGUCGUUGCAGAAGCGAAGGCCAGAUUCUACUCACUCCAAGUAUACGAUCCCUGGACGCGAGCCGCAUUCUACGGGCCCUCCGUGAUUCAUUGCGAGCAACUUGCCUUGGUUGACACCACCACGUCAACUGAUUAUCCUGGGUGAAAUAGGAC
rnacentral:lncRNA from 1 species